rnacentral:rRNA from 1 species
UACGUAGGUGGCGAGCGUUGUCCGGAUUUACUGGCGUAAAGAGCGCGCAGGCGGUCGUGCAAGUCGCGUGUGAAAGCCCCCGGCUCAACUGGGGAGGGUCACGCGAUACUGUUCGACUCGAAGGCAGGAGAGGGAAGUGGAAUUCCCGGUGUAGUGGUGAAAUGCGUAGAUAUCGGGAGGAACACCGGUGGCGAAGGCGGCUUCCUGGACCGACCACUGACGCUGAGGCGCGAAAGCUAGGGGAGCAAACGGG